ACCAGAGGUACAGAGUAAGUUGUGAAGUCCCGCGGUGGCGAUUAUCGUAAUAUUUCCCAUCCAUCCGUGCGUCAGGAGGGCUGCGGGUCGUGUGGUGGUGCAUCACAGCGUCAGACUCACAGAGGAUGUGUAGCCGAGGCAAUGACACGUGGACGGCGCUGAUGGCGGCCAGAACCUCUUGGGCGUCUUGGUCACACACGGCCAGGCUGAGCACCCCCAGGUCCCGCCACUCCUGCAGCAGCUGUGUGCCGGCACCACUUAAGUGACCCAUGAACCUCUCAAGAAACAGUUGGCCAAAAUAAUAAUGGCAGAAGUAAGACUAAGCUUUGAAGAAAGAAACAUGUCAUAAAGUGUUACUGGAGGCACGAAAAUGUCAAAGAAGUGCAAAGACAAUUCAGAAGACACUUUGACAGGGAUCCACCAAGGUGACGCGCCAUUGCUCGCAUCACAGCUAAAAAUGAUGGUAGGGCUGGCAGCGAUGUGAGUGAGGAGGACGCCACAAGCGGAGUCACUGGCAGUAGUGCUGACGGAGUGAUAAGAGGUGGAAGUAGUGCCAGUGGAAGAGGAGAUGGAGCAGGAAAAAAGCAUUAGUACCGCCGCCACCGCCAGCAGGAGGAAGGGGGAGAGGCGACUCCAGGAAGUACAACAUCCCAGCAGUGAGCUGAAGAAGCUUGACCAACUGUUUGUUUCCGAGGACGACAAGGUGACGUAUGAUCGCCGCCAGACGCCUUCUUACACAGCAGGUAACGAUCGCCACCACCACCACCACCACCACCACCACCACCUCCACCUCCACCACCACCACCACCACCACCACCACCACCACCACCACCACCAUCAAGAGGUGAAGUCCAAUGUAAGUAGCACUAAGUACUUUCAGUGUCUGGUGUUGUGUAUUUCAGCCACGAGGUGACGCGGCAAGGUGGGCAGCCCUCAUCACUGCUUACCUGCUUGGCCUGCAUGCCACUUUGACACUUUGGUGAAGUUUGCUGUAGUCGCUGGAAUUUUGAGAUGCUGAAUUCAGGGAUUGAAAAAUGGCGAAAUGAGCAUUCUGAGGAGCCCGGUGGAGGCACCACCACCUCCCCGCAGCACCUUGACGAGUGUGGUCACUGUGUUUCACCUCCACACGGCUGCCUUCGACUUAUGGAAAUGCCUUUAUUUUGUACUUUUCAUUUAUUUUCCUUGCUCUGGUUUGACCCGCUUACCGACUUGCUCCACGCCGCACGGCACGCGCGAAUGCUGCCUGCCAUCUUGAUUCACCUUUGUUCGGCGUGCAUCGGAGUCGGCGAUUAUCCUGUGCUUGGUUUUUCUACUGUAAGGAGAAAAACCUUUCUGUAAGUAUUUGUUUUUAUUUAAACAAAUACUUACAGAAAGGCUUAAAAUUGCACGUUGAGUAUGGAAUUGUUUUAAAAGCCUAUGAUAGUAUACAUACUAUACAUACUUAACAUAAAGAUAAUAAUACUAAUACAAUAAUACAGUAAAAACUUAAAGCGCCAGUGGGGACAGGUGCGUGCUACGCCAGCUGUGGGCUGCCAGCUUCACCUGGUGUGUGGACAUGUCCUGCACUUGGGGCGUGGCCGCUGUGAACAUGUUCCACAGCCGCGAAGUCCUGGCUGUGUAGGUGCGCUGGUGUUGGCUAGAGCGAGAUCGAGGCACCUUCACUAGCUCGUCGCUACUGGCUGCAGCUCUGGUGCACCUCUGCACUGUGUGUGGCAGCAGCCUCAGGGGGUCAAGGUGAGGGACCCUCUGCACCUGAGUUUUGUGGCACACCACUAGUGCCGACACGUCCCGGCGGUGCUCCAGUGACGUUACUGGUGGUGGGUGAUGUUGAUCGUCGUCGGUGGCCACCA